ensembl:rRNA 5S_rRNA 5S ribosomal RNA
UCAGUCUGAGGCCAUAUCACCCUAAACAUGUCCAAUCUCGUCUGGUUUCAGAAGCUAAGCAGGGUUGGGCCUGGUUAGUACUUGGAUAGGAGACAGAUCUUCAGAAGAGACUGCUGACUGAC